ACCCCCAACCCCGCGCCGGGGAGCUGUUAGAGGGCCGCCCGGAGCCCCGCGGCGGCAAGGCUGGGCCGCGGGUGCUGGCGGGCUCAAACUGCAAAUUCACUCUCCCACCAAAGGGACAAAAAAAGACGUACACGGCUCAGCUGACGGGCGCAGAGAAAGACUGGUGCUCCACGGAGCUCAAAAGUCAAGUCUUACUUCUCUGAGGUGUCUGCGUACCUUGGGCCAAUGUAAAAUGCACUUGAUGCUGCUUCUGCCUGAGCAGGAUACCGCUGAAAUCGAAUAAUUGCAGAUUCUUUGGCAUGCUGAUACAAGCCUGAGCGAAAAGUGUUUCAUGUAACUUCAUGGUUGAUGAGAGGCAUGUUGCUGACAUCAUGGGAGUUGAUUCUGAUAUGUCAAGCUGAUCACUAUAUCAUCAAUGCUGCAUCACUGGUUUCUUCAAGAUUGCAGUCUGAUCAGCACAAGCAUCGUGUCUGCUGUAAUGGAUCCCAGCCUCAGUCAGCACUCAAGAUUGACAGAUACUGGGAAUCUUGUACCAGAAUGGGGAAGACACUGGAGCAUGAAUAAAAGCUAUAAAGCACUUUGCCAUAUCAUCUAUCUUCAUUGUCCCUGCUGGAAGCCACAGAAGCAGAGGACACACCCAGGCUGGGAACCAAAACCACCUAGCAACCAUAGCCUGAAUGACAGCUUGAAACACUCUGCCAUUUCAUGUAUCUUCUGUGUCCCUCCUGGCAACUAGAAGAACAGCAGUUGAAGGCACACCCCAUCUGGAAACCGGAAACACCCAGCACUGGACCCUGAGUGAAAGCCUGAAAGAAAGUAAUCCCUUUCAGCUCCUGUUUCUUGUCAGCAGCGCAUAAAUGUUUUGAAAUUUCUUAUAAAAGCAGGUUUUCGGCUUCUGAUAAAGUCUAAUAUUGAUGUAAAGUCUGGUCUCCCAGAAAGGCCUUGCUCUGUGACUGGGCAUUUUGUUGACAUUUUAUCCUUGGGUCAGUACAUCCAUUGUUGCUGCAGCUUAGACAACUGGAAAUUGGAAACCCAUUCGUCAUGUUAAGUUGCUUACUAGAAUAAAAAUACAAGGACAGAAUAAAAAUACAAGGAAGCUACUAUAGCCAGUCUUUCCAUCUCCCCAGUGAAAGUGAGCUCAUUGAUUUCUCCAUGGAGGUGAAUACCAAAAAGCAUUAUCCAGUGGUUAGAGUACAAGACUGAAAGUGAAAGUACAUGUUUUCUCCUCACAGGCCUGCAGCAUUAGCUAGGUGAGCAGUAGUUGGCAAGAAGCUUAGUGUUUCACAUUAUAUGUGAAACUGGUGGACAUACAGAUGCAAAGCAUUACUUCACCUAAGGAAAUAAAGCUCAUAUGGCUGAGAUGUCUGUCAUUUCACUCUUUUUAUUUUUUUACUCAACCAGCAACUUUAAAUUUGACAGAGCAUGAGGGCAUUAGUAGUUAUGAAGUUAUUGAAAUUUCCUGAAAAUUGUCAAAUAAGCAGAGGGAGCAGAGGGAGAUCCAAAUUGGCACUCCCAUUCCCUCCUCACUGACCCUUCAGGGAAAUGCUGUAGCAUAAGCCCAACAGUUACUUGUUCUCUUUGUCCUUCUGACUGUGCAGUCGUUAGGUGCAUCACAUCUAAUCCAUCUACACACGUGGAGCUACAGCUCAACCAUUGCACAUGCUAUUUCUCCUCAGCUUUUAAAGGGAUACAGGAGAAAGCUAUGGGUGCUGUAGGAUGCAGAGGGAGAACUUAGAUGAUCCGCAUAAGGGAACUUGGAUAUUUGUCCUCAUUUCUUAAGGAGGACAUAGGAUACAAUUCCAUAAAAAAAACAGGCUUCAUCAUAGGUUCCUCUGCUUAUGGAAUAGCUUGUUGCUAUUAAUUGGUCGUGACCUAUCAUGAUUUUAAAUUCAAAAGCAAUUUAUUUAUGUUCCCUUGUUCUUAUACAAUGAGACUGGGUGCAAGGCUUCAGGUCAAAGUUAUGUCCCCUUCAAGAAGGUGUUUUCAUCUGGUCUUUUUAUUUCAUGUUUGCAGUAGAGCAUUCACUGCAGUUACCACAUUUCAACCAAACAGGCAGUGACCUCUAGCUGAGGGGUGGUAAUUCAUUAAAUCACAUAGUUUUCUUACUUAAUAUAGUCUGGCUUACCAUGAGAAAAAAAACAAAGUUUUAGGGUAACCUGCCAAGAAAGUGACUCCAAUUUAAAUUAAGGUGAUGCAGUAU